AACGAACGCUGGCGGCAUGCCUAACACAUGCAAGUCGAACGAGACCUUCGGGUCUAGUGGCGCACGGGUGCGUAACGCGUGGGAACCUGCCCUUAGGUUCGGAAUAACUCCCCGAAAGGGGUGCUAAUACCGGAUAAUGUCUUCGGACCAAAGAUUUAUCGCCUUUGGAUGGGCCCGCGUUGGAUUAGCUAGUUGGUAGGGUAAAAGCCUACCAAGGCGACGAUCCAUAGCUGGUCUGAGAGGAUGAUCAGCCACACUGGGACUGAGACACGGCCCAGACUCCAACGGGAGGCAGCAGUGGGGAAUAUUGGACAAUGGGCGAAAGCCUGAUCCAGCAAUGCCGCGUGAGUGAUGAAGGCCUUAGGGUUGUAAAGCUCUUUUACCCGGGAUGAUAAUGACAGUACCGGGAGAAUAAGCUCCGGCUAACUCCGUG
rnacentral:rRNA from 1 species